GAUGAACGCUGGCGGCGUGCUUAACACAUGCAAGUCGAACGAGAAGUGAAGACGGAAACCUUCGGGCGGAAGGCUUUAUUUCGAGUGGCGGACGGGUGAGUAACGCGUGGGUAACCUGCCUCAUACAGGGGGAUAACAGUUGGAAACGACUGUUAAUACCGCAUAAGACCACAGCACCGCAUGGUGCGGGGGUAAAAACUCCGGUGGUAUGAGAUGGACCCGCGUUCGAUUAGCCAGUUGGCGGGGUAACGGCCCACCAAAGCGACGAUCGAUAGCCGAUCUGAGAGGAUGACCGGCCACAUUGGGACUGAGACACGGCCCAAACUCCUACGGGAGGCAGCAGUGGGGAAUAUUGCACAAUGGGGGAAACCCUGAUGCAGCGACGCCGCGGGAGUGAAGAAGUAUUUCGGUAUGUAAAGCUCUAUCAGCAGGGAAGAAAAGGACGGUACCUGAGUAAGAAGCCCCGGCGAACUACGG
rnacentral:rRNA from 1 species